GUUGUCACUCUCUUUCAACCAAGCCCAUGAAAAGGAUCUGUCUUCCUGACUGAUCUUCAUGCUUCUGGCCAGUUCUGUUAAGCUAUGGAAUGCAGGAGCCCUCAGUAGCCAUGGAGAUGUGUUGACUGUUGUGGUACCUGCUCUGUUCCUAGCCAGUACCUUGACAACCAGCUCUUGAAGAAGCAGCCAGAGGUGCAUAAAGGCCAGCUUGCAGAUUCCUCUUUGCAGCAGAUAAGCCUGAUGGUUAGCUGGAAAAUGUCUUUUCCCUGUUUGUGAGGGGAAGCAGCUUCUAUUGCACCAAAGGAAAACUGGAGCCCACAGGCAUCAUUUUCUUUCAAGAGGACCAGAAUCAGUCUUCUGUCACCAGGUCAAUCCAGUUGCCUUCAAAAAGCUCCUCAUGCUUAGAAGAUGCUGAAGGCAACAGGAGCAUCAUUGCCACAGCUGGAGGAGAAGCUGCAGAGACCCUGUGAGGCUACAACAAGCAAGGACCUUGGUGGCUAUAACUAGCAUUGCCUCUCCAUCAGACUUCCAGCUGUUGUCUAUAAUCUCCAGGCCAUGUCCUGAAUGAUUCCAAGCAAGCUGAGCUUACAAGAAGUGCAGCUCAUGGCAAUUACAAAGAAGGAAGAAAGAAAGAAAUGCACCUGGGCUUAGAUCCAAUUGGAUUACUGUCAACCCCAUCCAGCUGAGAAGGGGAAAGACAGAUGUAUUGAUGGGCACUGAAAUGAGAUGGAACAAAAGACGACAACCUGAGCAGGGAAGAAAAGGCCUGCAAAGCUUGGUGCGAUCCAAGGAGGAUGAAGUUAAUUUAGCAUUUCCUUCACCAGCAAGGAGAGGACGUGAGAUGCGAGAGCAGGAGCAACUGGGAGAGAAAAUGGAAAUGGACCAAUUCCAAAGGCAAAGCUGAGGUGGUUGUUGAUGCUGCUGGGAAAGACACUAAACACUAAGCAUGGGAUGUCGUGUGAGAUGAGAAGCUCUCCAAAUACAUAAAGGGAAGGUAAAUGAUGGAUUCUUCAUGAUGGGGCCCCAGAUGUUGCAGAGGUGAAGCUGCAGUGGG
rnacentral:lncRNA from 14 species